rnacentral:lncRNA from 1 species
CACAGGAGUCUGUGUGAAGCAGCACAAGCGGUUGACCCAGGCCAUCCAGAAAGCCAGGGAUCAUGGUCUCCUCAUUUACCACAUCCCCCAGGUUGAACCACGGGACCUUGACUUCAGUACCUCUCAUGGGGCUGUGAGUGCUACUCCGCCAGCCCCCACCCUGGUCUCAGGUGACCCCUGGUACCCAUGGUACAACUGGAAACAGCCACCGGAGAGAGAACUGUCUCGCCUUCGCCGGCUUUACCAGGGUCAUCUCCAAGAAGAGAGUGGCCCCCCACCUGAGUCAAUGCCCAAGAUGCCCCCUAGAACACCAGCGGAAGCCUCCUCCACUGGGCAGACAGGCCCUCAGAGUGCUCUGUAGGAGCUGUAGACUGGGAAGAGAGGCCAGGCGUGGUGGCUCACUCCUGUAAUCCCAGCACUUUGGGAAGCCAAGGUGGGCUGAUCACUUGAUCCCAGGAGUUUGAGACCAGCCUGGGCACCAUGGUGAAACCUCGUCUU